GCUGCCUUCGGGAUGAUGCCAAGCAGGCUGGAAGCCGACAGAAAGAUUAAGGUUGCCUCGAAAUUUUACCAAAGCCGUACCACACACUCGGGCAAGGCCUUUUUGCAAAUGGCGUAUAACCAGGCUCAACGCAUGAGUGUCGAGUGAGUCUGGAGAUCAAGGCAACCUGCUGUGCAACCAGCAUGCAACCUUUGGUGGCCCCUCUACAUGUUCCACCUAUUUCACAGCUGCACCUCCGCCGCAACUUAUCCAAACAGCAUCACCAACUGUGGUCACUCAUCGAACCAUGGAUGAAUGUUGGGGUGGAGUGAUUUGAAGAGACAUUCUAUUUGUCUCUUCAAAUUCUUAGCAAAUACUUGUGUUAUUAUAAUUAAUAUGUGUCUUUAGU